AGUGAACCAGUACCGUGAGGGAAAGGCGAAAAGAACCCCGGCGAGGGGAGUGAAAAAGAACCUGAAACCGUGUACGUACAAGCAGUGGGAGCACCUUCGGGUGUGACUGCGUACCUUUUGUAUAAUGGGUCAGCGACUUAUAUUCUGUAGCAAGGUUAACCGUAUAGGGGAGCCGCAGGGAAACCGAGUCUUAACUGGGCGUUAAGUUGCAGGGUAUAGACCCGAAACCCGGUGAUCUAGCCAUGGGCAGGUUGAAGGUUGGGUAACACUAACUGGAGGACCGAACCGACUAAUGUUGAAAAAUUAGCGGAUGACUUGUGGCUGGGGGUGAAAGGCCAAUCAAACCGGGAGAUAGCUGGUUCUCCCCGAAAGCUAUUUAGGUAGCGCCUCGUGAACUCAUCUUCGGGGGUAGAGCACUGUUUCGGCUAGGGGGUCAUCCCGACUUACCAACCCGAUGCAAACUACGAAUACCGAAGAAUGUUAUCACGGGAGACACACGGCGGGUGCUAACGUCCGUCGUGAAGAGGGAAACAACCCAGACCGCCAGCUAAGGUCCCAAAGUCACAGUUAAGUGGGAAACGAUGUGGGAAGGCACAGACAGCCAGGAUGUUGGCUUAGAAGCAGCCAUCAUUUAAAGAAAGCGUAAUAGCUCACUGGUCGAGUCGGCCUGCGCGGAAGAUGUAACGGGGCUAAACUGUGCACCGAAGCUGCGGCAGCGACACUAUGUGUUGUUGGGUAGGGGAGCGUUCUGUAAGCCUGCGAAGGUGGCCUGUGAGGGUUGCUGGAGGUAUCAGAAGUGCGAAUGCUGACAUAAGUAACGAUAAUGCGGGUGAAAAGCCCGCACGCCGGAAGACCAAGGGUUCCUGUCCAACGUUAAUCGGGGCAGGGUGAGUCGACCCCUAAGGCGAGGCCGAAAGGCGUAGUCGAUGGGAAACAGGUUAAUAUUCCUGUACUUGGUGUUACUGCGAAGGGGGGACGGAGAAGGCUAUGUUAGCCGGGCGACGGUUGUCCCGGUUUAAGCAUGUAGGCGGAGGUUCCAGGUAAAUCCGGUACCUUAUUAACGCUGAGGUGUGAUGACGAGGCACUACGGUGCUGAAGUAACAAAUGCCCUGCUUCCAGGAAAAGCCUCUAAGCAUCAGGUAACAUUAAAUCGUACCCCAAACCGACACAGGUGGUCAGGUAGAGAAUACCAAGGCGCUUGAGAGAACUCGGGUGAAGGAACUAGGCAAAAUGGUGCCGUAACUUCGGGAGAAGGCACGCUGAUAUGUAGGUGAAGCCCCUGCGGGUGGAGCUGAAAUCAGUCGAAGAUACCAGCUGGCUGCAACUGUUUAUUAAAAACACAGCACUGUGCAAACACGAAAGUGGACGUAUACGGUGUGACGCCUGCCCGGUGCCGGAAGGUUAAUUGAUGGGGUUAUCCGUAAGGAGAAGCUCUUGAUCGAAGCCCCGGUAAACGGCGGCCGUAACUAUAACGGUCCUAAGGUAGCGAAAUUCCUUGUCGGGUAAGUUCCGACCUGCACGAAUGGCGUAAUGAUGGCCAGGCUGUCUCCACCCGAGACUCAGUGAAAUUGAACUCGCUGUGAAGAUGCAGUGUACCCGCGGCAAGACGGAAAGACCCCGUGAACCUUUACUAUAGCUUGACACUGAACAUUGAGCCUUGAUGUGUAGGAUAGGUGGGAGGCUUUGAAGCGUGGACGCCAGUCUGCGUGGAGCCAACCUUGAAAUACCACCCUUUAAUGUUUGAUGUUCUAACGUUGGCCCCUGACCGGGGUUGCGGACAGUGUCUGGUGGGUAGUUUGACUGGGGCGGUCUCCUCCCAAAGAGUAACGGAGGAGCACGAAGGUUAGCUAAUCCUGGUCGGACAUCAGGAGGUUAGUGCAAUGGCAUAAGCUAGCUUGACUGCGAGCGUGACGGCGCGAGCAGGUGCGAAAGCAGGUCAUAGUGAUCCGGUGGUUCUGAAUGGAAGGGCCAUCGCUCAACGGAUAAAAGGUACUCCGGGGAUAACAGGCUGAUACCGCCCAAGAGUUCAUAUCGACGGCGGUGUUUGGCACCUCGAUGUCGGCUCAUCACAUCCUGGGGCUGAAGUAGGUCCCAAGGGUAUGGCUGUUCGCCAUUUAAAGUGGUACGCGAGCUGGGUUUAGAACGUCGUGAGACAGUUCGGUCCCUAUCUGCCGUGGGCGCUGGAGAAUUGAGGGGGGCUGCUCCUAGUACGAGAGGACCGGAGUGGACGCAUCACUGGUGUUCGGGUUGUCAUGCCAAUGGCAUUGCCCGGUAGCUAAAUGCGGAAGAGAUAAGUGCUGAAAGCAUCUAAGCACGAAACUUGCCCCGAGAUGAGUUCUCCCUGAGACUUUAAGUCUCCUGAAGGAACGUUAAAGACGAUGACGUUGAUAGGUCGGGUGUGUAAGCGUAGCGAUACGUUGAGCUAACCGAUACUAAUGAACCGUGAGGCUUAACCUU
rnacentral:rRNA from 1 species